rnacentral:lncRNA from 1 species
UCUAUUCACCUCAUUUCAAAAAUAAGGGUUACCCCCUCUAUUUAUAGAUUUAGGUUAACUUGGACCUCAAGUCAAAGCCUAAAACUAUAAAAGCCCAAAAUAGCUAACACUACUAAAAUAGGCAUAAGUCGAAAUCCUGUGUGAAGCAAUAUGCUUCGACACUUCGACACUUCGACACACUAACAUAACUCAACACACUAGGUGGUUCGACACUUCCUUACUAUGUCGAGCAACCUGCUUCGGCACAAGGAAUUAUAAUUCAACACACCACCUAAUUCAUUCUAUCUAAACUAUCUACAUUCAUCAUAUCUCUUAGUCUUC